AAUUCAUGAACCGGAACCGUACAUGCUUUUCAUUGAGGGGGCAAUACACAGUGAUAUUUGUUUUGUGUGCCUAGAACACGCCUGCUAAUUCAUUUAUUUAUUUGACCUUCGUUUAUCCAGCAUAUGUGACAAGCAAUGGAAAAAUGCACAACCUGACUGUCCAAUCCAAGGAGGAUGAUCAUGAUGAAAAAGAAAAUGGCCCAAAUCUGUGGAAACGGCAUCAUGGCCACGGCUCGAGGGAAACCGGAGUACCUGCAGAAAACCCACGCAGGCCCGGGGAGAACAUGCAAACUCCACACAGGGAGCCUGGAGCCGGGAUCGAACUCACGACCUCUGCACUCACAGGUAAGGAAACCGCCACACGUUUCCAAGUCCAAUGAUUUGUCCCGCAACUGCAAGGAGGAACUCCAUUUUGUUGGACCACUGUCCUCUGGCAACAAUGAAACGUCCCGGCGAGGCGGUUACCCUGCUCGCCUUGAACUUGACCUCUUGGUAAUGUGGCUUUUCCAUGGCACUGCAACAAUGUCGCAAGAGUUCCAGGAGUGACGCUGACAGCAUAGAGCAUCCUCAACAGCACCGUGACGGGUGUCGACAGAGAGAGGAAUCCCCCAAUGGCGGAGCCCCACCACGGGUAUUCGUUGGUUGCUCACCUCUGUAACCAUGAGAAGACCACCAAAGAAGCUUGCAACACUGAUAGCAAGAAGGAGGAGUUUACGUCGACGUUUAUUUCCAAAGAUUGAAGGGAAUGUGUCAACUAUGUUUGUGAUCAGUCCCUCUAAAGUUAGAAACUAUUUGAGCAAACCCUGUCAGUAGUAGACUGACAACGGCUUGUACAAAGAGACAACGUGAUGUUACCAUUGGAUCGCUGAGCCGGGAUACAUCUGGGUAGAGGUAGAACUUGAUUCCUUCUUUGGCACCGGGCAAUGUCAGUCCACGAACAAGCAACACCAGCAGCAUGACAUAUGGGAAUGUGGCGGUGAAGUAGGCCACCUACAUUUAACCAAGAAGGAAUUUAUGACUUGUGUGCUGUGAAGACAGCCUACAAAAAUCACUAAGAUGCCACAUGGCAAAACUUAAAUAUCUUUACAUACAGACAUGAAACAUGUCACAAUGUUCUGGAUAGAUGUAAAUCAUUCUAUAUUUGUGCUAAUUCUAAAAUAUCACAUUUUUA